rnacentral:lncRNA from 1 species
ACCUGUUGUGCACGGUUGUAUCAGCCUGUUACAAAGUCAUAUACCCAUCUAUUGUAUAUAACCUAAGAAAAAUAACAAAUCAAAGGCUUUUAAUCCCAUAAAAUAAUUAAAAAGAAACAAAGGUUUUCUAUAAAGUUUAGAAAAUACAACACUCAGAUUUUUUUUUUGCCUUACAUCAGUAAGGCAAACCAUUCAUAUCCAUUUUGGCUUGCUGAGGUUUACCUUUUCAUCACCUGUUUUUCCCAUUGGUCACAUGGCGGUCAUCGCAUCAAUGGAGAAGGCGAAAGGAGGACGUCGUUUGCAUCGAUGAAGAAGACGCAAAUAGGAUGUCGGAGGCCAUUACUUUCAGAUAAGAAAAUCGUGAACGACAACCCUUAGGAACUUAAGCCCCCGCUCUAUCCGUAAAUGGGGGUGUGAGUGGCAAAUGGGUUUUUGGUUGGGGCUUCUACUCUUUAGGGAGAGAAAGAGGAUGGUGGAGAAUGAAUGAUCCAGUGGUUAUUGGUUUCUGGUGUGUGCUUGUGAGUUGUGACCUAACAGUAAUGGAGAAAGCGAAAAAGGAGAUGUACGUUAUAUAAAGGUUAGUUGGUGUUGACCGAUUCAUUAUGCUGAAAGUGUGGAACACCGAUUCAAAGGCCCGUCUGACUUUUUCUUUUAUUGGCC